rnacentral:rRNA from 1 species
UACGUAGGGGGCUAGCGUGGUCCGGAUUUAUUGGGCGUAAAGAGCGUGUAGGCGGCCAUGUAGGUCCGGUGUGAAAACUCGAGGCUUAACCUCGAGAUGUCAUCGGAAACCAUUUGGCUAGAGUCCGGAAGAGGAGAGUGGAAUUCCUGGUGUAGCGGUGAAAUGCGCAGAUAUCAGGAAGAACACCAAUGGCGAAAGCAGCUCUCUGGGCCGAUACUGACGCUGAGGAGCGAAAGCGUGGGGAGCGAACAGG